rnacentral:lncRNA from 1 species
AGAGGAUAAAAACCAGAAUCUAGAGAGAGCCAGCUAUGAAGUUAGGGGUACCGGACACAUGCAAAUAGAAACAAUAGAUAGCCAAACAGUGGGACCUGAUCUAUGUGGGAUGAGUUCUGGAAAGGGCAAAGCCAUGGUCCUAGGAUGAUGAGAGGAGGCAAGAUCCUGAGGGCAGGACUUCCACAACUCAGAAAGCAACUAUGAACUCCCAAAGACCUGGAGUCCAAGUUGUAUGUCCAGCUGUAAGUGCUUAUUUGAUGGUGGAGAAAAUGAAAUGGCUUCUAGCUGUCCCAGACAGAACUAAGGUGCCUUGCAACUUCCAAGAUAGCUUGGCAGGGUUGAGUGAACACCAGACUAGCUGGGAUGACCUCACUCAUGAUUACUACCAGACAUCUACACAUCAGAGGCUUCAAAGCAUUGUUGGGAAGAGAAAAAAUCUUAACCCUAGCAUUUAUACUUCCGCCGUAGCUCCCCAUCCACUUCGGAGGGGCCAUAGUGAGUGCUCAUAUUUAAGAAGCACGGUGACUAAGGACCGUAGACGUUCCUUUCCAUCGGCCCCACAUGCAACUAGCCUAGAUAAGUAUUCUCAGUCACAGACGUUCAUGGAGUGCCACAAGUCAGAAGUGGGGCCAACCCAGAAGCUGUGUAAAAAUGUGAAAGAAACUCAGGUAGCCCUGGAGCAGCUGGAGGACACUAGGCAGCUUCAGGAACCAAAGUUACUGGCUCAGGCUGAAACAUCCUUCCUAGGAUGCCUGAUAAAAAACCAUAACCGACAUAAGAAGCCAAGGAAGGGCUGUGUAGCCUCAGGAUACAUGAAGCAAAUGGGAGACCUUCAGUUCCUGGACAAAAUGGACCACAUCGACCCCGAAUAUUCUCUGCAGACACUGAUUGGGCAAAUGGAGUUAAAUGAACCUGAAGUUCUGCCGAGGGUGCCGAUGGAAGAGACAAAGCCAAAAUCAGCCCUGGAGAAGACCCAGGCCUGGGAGUUGUCAGUAGCAAAGGAGAGUGAGUCUAAGUUCAACCCUGCCAUCAACAAAGAGAACCAGAAGUUAUGGAAGAAAUUAGAACGACUUGCUCAAGAUUAUUACAGAGUGGAAGGGACAAGGAAGCAGAUGCUGAGGCAAAAGCAAGAGCUGAAGGACCAACGCUGGGACUCGGUGAUCCGCGGAACAUCAGUAAGGCUGGCAUGGCGGGAGCAUAAGCAACGAUGCCCCAAAGAACGGGAAAAGCUCAAGAGCUCAGUGAGCAGUCCCCAGCACCCUAUAAGAAUAAUUCUGAAUCAAUCCCCACAACACCAGAUGCAGUAAGAAUAACAGAAGAAAUCCAUUUAGACCCGAGUGAGCAAAACACUUUACAGCUGCCUACUGGGAACUGUGCAGCAGGCAACGAUGGGCUGGAAAACCUUGACUGGAGAAAUGGGAGCCCAUCUCUUUGAAGACAGACCUGAAAAAGACUCGGCUUUGUUGCUUCUAUCUCAAGGGCACCGCGACACUGAACUCAAGGUCUCAGAAUACCUGAGAAUGGCCUGUUAAGGUCACAUUUUGGUCUGGUUCAGAAGGAACUGGAUACCCAGUGAACUCUGGAACAGUCUCAGGUAUAACCAGCCUCAUUAUUGUGUCACUGUUCCUAAAACUGUGCAAAGGGUGUCUGAGUCACCAGGAAAAAGCCAGGGCUUUGGUGGGCUGCCCUAGGCUGGAGGGGCAGUCAGAAGCAGGAGACCUUGGGUCCUGUGGGUGUUGAAAUGUUCAUGAGACAUCAGUGAGGGGUAAAGAUGCUACAAGGCAAAUGACAAAGAUUAUGGCCCAAACAUAAAGGACACAUGCUGGCUCAGUCUGCUGAUUCAUCAGUGACUCAGCAUCUGUAAGCUGGCUGCACAGCCCAACUGUAUUUUGGAAAAGGGCAGUGAGAUAAAUUUCCAAAAAAGUCUCUGUGUUCUCUUCUGCCAUCAGCGACAGAAAGAACAAUCACCAGCAAUAACAGUUACACAGAGGCCAAACUUUCAUAUUAAUUAAAAGCCGUGUAAGAUAUAGCUCGGCCAAUUUUUCAAGCCAAAGACAAUGUGGUGCCUGACUAGCAGAUCAAAGUUCACAUCCUGGUUCUGCCAUGUGCAACAUAUGCAAUAUGGGAGGUCACAUUAUCUUUUUACUACACCUUGAGAAAGCUAGCUCUGUAUCAAUGCAGGAACGCAUGCUGGUUUCCAGGACAUAGUCGAUGUUCAAGAAAGGACAAGAGCCACCGUCGCAAGAAUAACAAAAUGUUCUUGCUGUGGAUUUCUUUCUACUGUGAUUGCUGAAAUCAAGGUGUUAGAUGUAAGCCUCCUUCCUGUUCUGGAAAGUGACUAAUUCUGUGAAGAAUGCCCAGGAAGGAAGAAAAGAUUCUUCGGGGAUAUUACAACAAAUCCAUGGUAUUUCGAUGCUAACACCCUUGAGACAAGGAGAGACAAAGGCAGAACAAAUGCACGGCCUAACAUGACCUGUUCCAGCAAAGGAGAGGGAGGAAGUCUGAGAGAACUAACUGGGUGUCAAGUGUUAAACAAAUAAUAGUAUUGGAACACACAUUUGGCUAAGCUGGAAGUUUUCACCACAGAAGAUCAAUUCAGAAGCUAUAGGUGAUAUCGUCUAUCUAUCCUUUCCAGGCAGUCUCUACAGGAAUUCCCAGGCAUAAUGUGAAUGCCCAAAGUCCACAAAGGAACAGAAUUAAGACCAAGAUUGACAAGAUGUUCUCUGGUAUAAAUACAGAUGAAGCAUUGGGUGGAAGUUCAAAUCUGCACGGAAGCAAGUAGAAUUCGGAUACGUCACAUCAGACAACCCCAGAGAACUCAGCUCCCCCAUAGACCUGAAUUAUUUGUAUACAGAUAAAAGAAAAUGCAAUCUGUC